rnacentral:misc_RNA from 1 species
GUUCCUCCUCCCCUUUUUUCCCUCCCCUUUCCCUCUCCUCGGAGAGUAUGCCUGUUUGAGGGUCAGCCUAUAAAAAUCGACACCGUUGCUGUUCCGCGGUGACGUUCGUCGGAAAUUGGGUUAUCUUAAACCUUUUGGUUUAAGCGACUUAAAAUUUUCCUUUUGAUUCCAUGAACGUUUCUAAGAUUUAUUUCUUUACACGUUUAAGGUAUCGAAUGUCUUAUUAGACGUGGCCGUCAUAUCGGAUCGUGUCCAUAAUUUUUUUCGUUAACUGACCUCAGACAGGUAAGAGUACCCG